GACGAACGCUGGCGGCGUGCUUAACACAUGCAAGUCGAACGCUGAAGCUCAGCUUUUGUUGGGUGGAUGAGUGGCGAACGGGUGAGUAACACGUGAGUAACCUGCCUCCUUCUUUGGGAUAACGCCCGGAAACGGGUGCUAAUACUGGAUAUUCACUGGUCUUCGCAUGGGGGUUGGUGGAAAGGGUUUUUCUGGUGGGGGAUGGGCUCGCGGCCUAUCAGCUUGUUGGUGGGGUGAUGGCCUACCAAGGCUUUGACGGGUAGCCGGCCUGAGAGGGUGACCGGUAACAUUGGGACUGAGAUACGGCCCAGACUCCUACGGGAGGCAGCAGUGGGGAAUAUUGCACAAUGGGCGCAAGCCUGAUGCAGCGACGCCGCGUGAGGGAUGGAGGCCGUCGGGUUGUGAACCUCUUUCGCUCAUGGUCAAGCCGCAACAAUGGUUGUGGUGAGGGUAGUGGGUAAAGAAGCGCCGGCUAACUACGUG
rnacentral:rRNA from 1 species